rnacentral:rRNA from 1 species
UACGUAGGGUGCAAGCGUUGUCCGGAAUUAUUGGGCGUAAAGAGCUCGUAGGCGGUUUGUCGCGUCUGCUGUGAAAACCCGAGGCUCAACCUCGGGCCUGCAGUGGGUACGGGCAGACUAGAGUGCGGUAGGGGAGAUUGGAAUUCCUGGUGUAGCGGUGGAAUGCGCAGAUAUCAGGAGGAACACCCAUAGCGAAGGCAGCUUGCUGGGACGUUACUGACGCUAAGGCGCGAAAGCGUGGGGAGCGAACAGG